rnacentral:rRNA from 1 species
CGGGUGAGUAACGCGUAGGUAAUCUAUCCUUACAUUUGGGAUAACAUUGGGAAACUGGUGCUAAUACCGAAUGGUCUUCUUUGCUGCGGGGCGAAGGAGUAAAGGUGGCCUCUUCAUGAAAGCUACCGUGUAGGGAUGAGCCUGCGUACCAUUAGCUAGUAGGUGGGGUAACGGCCCACCUAGGCUACGAUGGUUAGCGGGUCUGAGAGGAUGAUCCGCCACACUGGAACUGAAACACGGACCAG